CACGUCUACUUAUUUCCCCUACUAUAUUCCCCUUAUUUCAUAAAACCUAACCAUUCUCUCUUUGAAGUAUAAAAAGCUAUCUUACAACAUCCCGGUUUCAAUCUUUUGCGUAAUAGAAAUACAAUAUUUCUAACCUCGCAAGCGUCACUCGUCUCUCUUAUUCUUAUUAUAAUAACAUAAACGGACGAGAACGAGCAUUGUUCGGAAAUUAGAAGUUUAUACGACGUCUGCAAGCGAGAGAUUCGGUUCCGGAGAUAUCAUCGCAUAUGUAUUUUUCGUUUAAAGUAUUUUGAAUUUAUAUGUUUCGAACUAUUAUUCUUUAGUGUUCCGGAAACGGUCGGCGACUACUCAGCGUAUUAUUAUUUUGGUUCUUAUCAUAUACUCUGAUCUAUGUAUUUAUAGUUUUUCAGUACAACGUUUGAAAGGGUAGGAUCAUCGGGCCCCGAGGAGGGAGAGGGGCAAGACAGGGCAUUUGCUCCCCCUAGACUUCAAAAUGUCAAAUAUAAUUUUAAUAAUUAGAUAAUUUAUAUAGUUUUGUUAUAAUUUGUUGGCGAUUCGAAACUUUACUAAGAUACUGACCUUCCCUGAUCAAUUUCUUGUGAGCGUUUAUGAGAGGGAUUCUUUAGGGUGAAAUACGAUUGUGAAUGUCACGAUUUCGAACGGACCUUUUUCCGUAACAAGAUUGCAAACGUUUUUACCUGCCUUAUUUCGUGUUUGUCAAUUAUAUUUAUAUAAUAUAUGAAUUUAAUAUUAUUUGUCUAAAUUUUGUUUUAUUUUCAUAUAAUUAAAUCAUAUAAGGUUAACAACAACGUGCG